CCUACGGGAGGCAGCAGUGAGGAAUAUUGGUCAAUGGGCGCGAGCCUGAACCAGCCAAGUAGCGUGAAGGAAGACUGCCCUACGGGUUGUAAACUUCUUUUAUAAAGGAAUAAAGUGAGGCACGUGUGCCCUUUUGGAUGUACUUUAUGAAUAAGGAUCGGCUAACGCCGUGCCAGCAGCCGCGGUAAUACGGAGGAUCCGAGCGUUAUCCGGAUUUAUUGGGUUUAAAGGGAGCGUAGAUGGGUUGAUAAGUCAGUUGUGAAAGUUUGCGGCUCAACCGUAGAAUUGCAUUUGAUACUGGCAGUCUUGAGUACAGUAGAGGUAGGCGGAAUUCGUGGUGUAGCGGUGAAAUGCUUAGAUAUCACGAAGAACACCGAUUGCGAAGGCAGCUUACUAGACUGCCACUGACGUUGAUGCUCGAAAGUGUGGGUAUCAAACAGGAUUAGAUACCCUAGUAGUC
rnacentral:rRNA from 1 species